UUUUUCAUUCUUUAAUGAUUACAAUAGGUAUCUUCAGAGUUUGUUGAAUGCUGCAUCAUUCCAUUCCUUGGGAACACGAAAGUUAUUCUUACCUGGUGGAUUUCUUCUUACACGACCACCCCCCCCCCAACUUCUUUUCUCGGAUGUGUGCGUGUCAUGCAUGGGAAGGUAUGAAGGAAAAACAGCUAUUCAGCAGAGACACAUCCCACCCCUUUAAUUAAGCUUUUCCUGGACUAUGUAAAAACACUGGCAAUGUGCAGUAGCUACCCUGCACUAGAAGGAAGAAAAGGCAUGGCUCAGAGCACGUGAUCUCACAGCCCUGCUCCCCUGGACAUGAAUGCCUGUGGGGUGCUCCAAAUGGGUG